rnacentral:lncRNA from 1 species
CUCCGUCUCAAAAAAAAAAAAAAAAAAAAAAAGAAAAAUGACACUUGCCAAAGCGCUGUAGGGAAGACUGUCCAGGACCGUGUCACUAGGCAUAAGGGACCACGGCGAUGAGAUUCUGCAGUGGGUAAGAGACUGGGCUCAGCCUCGAAGACAGCAUGGGCAAGUGGGAUCGGACCGUCAAGGAGCAGGGGGAAGACUAUCCAGGACCGUGUCACUAGGCAUAAGGGACCAUGGCGAUGAGAUUCUGCAGUGGGUAAGAGACUGGGCUCAGCCUCGAAGACAGCAUGGGCAAGUGCGAUCGGACAGUCAAGGAGCAGGGUGGGGGGCAGCGCAUGGAAAGUGACUAAGAGGAAGCAUCAGCAGCCAGGGAUUCUGGCUUAACUCCCCUAACAGAAUUCUUGCUGAAGGCCGGCCAGGAUGGCCAGACCGCACCUGGGGGACAGAGGGGGAACCCGAUCAGAUGUCAAGGACGGGGGGCUUCUUGCUAAACUGACUUUG